AGGAAGUAGGACUCCUGCACGGAAAUACAUGUUUGUGAGCGAAAUCAAGAAAAUGUUUUCCUGAAGGAAUCUUGGCCCAUGAGGAAUUGGUGCGAAGCGCUGGCCUUGGUUCCACCUCUGAGUGUCACCUUUCUUCCGCCCUCAGAUGAAGCAAUGGCCACAAUCCCUCUUGGAAACUAAGGAGCUGCUCGUGCCUGAGAUGAUCCAGGUGCCAACUGAGGUGUUAAUUGCUCCAUAACAAGCAUAAAUGGUGACCGUCCCAGGUACCCUGUCCUAGAGAGCCCUGAAGAGCUUGAAGUAUGGGGUGUGACAUGAUCACAUUUGCACUUCAGAAAGGUUACUGGCUGUGGUGCCCAAGACAGAUGGAAUGUAUUUUUAUUUGAAAACAUCAAACAUGCUCAACGUAAAGAAAUCAGAUGGUGCAAAAAGUAUACAGUGACAAUGUUCCAUGAUGCAGCAUGUUGUUGUCAAUAUUUGCCCUGUUGGAUGGGCACUGUGACUGUUUCCAGUUUCUUGCCAUUCCAAAUGAGUUUCCUGACGUGGAAUUGCUGAGUCACAAGGCAUAGACGUUUAUAAUUUUCAUCAAUAUCGCCAAGUCGUCCUCCAUGGAGGGGAACCAAUUCUACACACAGAUUCCUGUGCACAUGGAUAUUAAGCACAUGAGUGAUGCGAGUCCCGGUAAAUGGCCCAGCUUUCAGUACAGCAGAUGAACGGUGAGCUGGUCUCUGAGGCAGAGGCUGCCGUCAGGCCUCUCUGUGGAAUUCCCUCUCUGGGGAUGGCAGGAACUCACUACUGUGCUUACUGAAGGCACAUGAUGGAGCUAACUCAUGUCAUCCUCAUAGCCACGUUAUGAACUCUGAGCUGGAGAGAUGGCCAGACACGUGGCUGGGGCUCGGGAUGCCAGGAAACGGUGUUCCUUGGACACAUAGGUAGGUAACCAUUUCCGAGUAAAGUCCUUCUCAGCAACUGGAGACAAUCGUCACGUUCUGCAAACAGCCGCGCAUGUCUGACCCAGCCCGGGACUUCUCCCUCUGUGUUAGCUUCUUGUUUGGGGCUCCAGGGGGACUGAGUAAGACAUAACCAUGGUAACUAACAGGCAGCUCACUCCAAGCCCGGCUGCUAACCACUGGGUAGAAUUGCCCUGCUGGAAGGUCUUUUCAAACUUGCUCGGGAGAGCCUGGAAAGGUGCUGUGCCAGGCAGAAGCCUGGCUGCGUGGGGGCUGUGCCCGUGGCCCUGAGACCUCGAGGCAGGUGCUGUGGGAGAAACACCUGCCUCCGGCAGGAGCCUUGGGCUCAGGUCCCCGCCUGCUGCCCCGCCUGUGUGGUCUUGGGCAAGUCACUUCCCACAGAUCCCAUGAACUUCCCAUGUGAGAGUGCAAUGACGAUCUAUGGUUGCCCUGAUUCUAGUGGGAAUAAGAGUUAAUGCUUGUGAAACAUAUUUUGUAAAUAACAUGCAAAUGUCAGGGGUUCCUGCCUUUAGUUUUCAAUCCCACGGGGGGGGGUCUUUGUGGAUGGUGGAGUGUGGGAAGUUGGAUGAUGUAUCUUUUGAUUAAAAAAAAUCUUUUUAUUAUAGUAAUUUUCAAAUGCCAAUAAAAAUAGAAUAAAAUAACAAUUUUCCAUGUACUCUUCACCACUUAACACAUUUGGCCAAUCUUGUUUCAUCCAUCCGCUUUCAAAAUGCCAGCUUUAUUAAGGUAUAAUUUACACACAAAUAAUGCUCCUAAAUGUAGCUUUUGAUGAAUUUGGACAAGUUUAGACAUUCUUGUAUAUUACCAGAAUCAGAUGUUUAACAUUUUCACCACUUCCCAAAGUUCUCUGGUGCCUCUUCCUAGUCAACGGCCCAUCGCUAUAGUCCCAGGGCCUGAGGCAGACCUUCCAGGGAAAAUGUGCAUCUUCCCAGGGGUGCUCGGGUUACAGGCACAGCAGAGUCUUGUGUUCAGGAAAAUUUGAUGGUGCCUUCUCCCCUCUGAGACGCUGCAAACCUUUGGGAGGUGAUGUUCCCCUUUACUUCGGUGAGCAAUACACUCAGCUUCGUCUCAACAGGCUCUGUGGGUAAUGUUUGGGAGCCAGCUGAGGCACCACUUAAGCCAGUCUUUGAUUUUCUAGAUUUUUUGGAUCUCCUUGUUCUUGUUGUUCAUUCCUCUGGUCUGUGUUCCUCUGGCUCUGUCGUUUGUCCAGGUCGAUUUUAGGGGAGGAAGCAUUAGCAAUCACAGUUUGUCACCUCGACAUGACUUUCUUCCAGUUGCAUCAAAUCAGUUGCAUCAAAGGGAAGUCACGUUGUUACCAGGCAGGCUGUCCAGGACAGCGUGCCAGCUUCUGACUUUGUGAACUGCCAAUUUCUGGGCUUGUUGAAUGAAAACCCCCACUGACAUUUUAUAGUUUCCCAUGAUUGACCCUGGAGCCCAACUAAUCUUAAUCAGCAUUUCAGUUCCAAUCAGGAGGGACAUUUGUUAACCGUGUGACUAAAGCACAGGGGUGAUCUAACAGUGGAGGAAUAACGCCAGCUUAAUUAUUCCUGCUCUUUGUGACUAUUUUAAACAUAUAAAGUCUCUUGGCAGUGAAUAAUUAUAUACCAGUAGAUAUUUCAGUGGUUUAAUCAUUUUUUAUUUUGUAAUUCUAGGUAUCUGGUUA